rnacentral:lncRNA from 1 species
UUAUUACGUGUGUCUUCACACCACCCACUGGCUGGCUUUAUUAUCUGAGCAGGUGUGUGUUCACACCACCCCCCAGCUGGCUUCAUGCACCCCCCCCGGCUGGCUUUGUUAUCUGAGCAGGUGCACCCUCACACCAGCCCCCAGCUGGCUUUCUUUUCCACCAAGUGGUUCUCUGAUGACUGAAGCUUGUACUGGGGGCAUCAUUUUGAGGAGUGUAAUGCAAAGAACCCGUGACUCCACAUACCAUGAGUUCUGCAGAAUGAUCGGCAGGCACUCUCUGCUAGUUUUGAGUCUGUCAUCUUGCAAUUUGUUUUUUGUUUCAUCUGCCCUUUGUUCUCUCUUUACCUGCCUUCCUCUGGGUUGAGUAUUUUAUGUUUCUGUCUUACCUCCUUUGUUGGCUUACUAGGUAUCUUUGCUGUGUUUUGAAUGGU